rnacentral:lncRNA from 10 species
AGAUGACAUUUCCAAGACUUCUUGCUUGGCAGCCAUCCUCACGUGCAGGUGGUCUGGCAGCAGCACUGCAAAACCCAGGCAAGGGAUGCCCCACUGCAAGGCCCAGUGGUAACUGUGGUGGCCAUUGGCAUUGGGGGCAGAUGCAGCCAUGUGAGUUGGUGGGCUGUGGCAGCCACCCUAAUGAUGGUUUCCACCCCUCCCAGCUGGUGGUGGCUAAAACCACCCGGUAGGAGUUUCAAAAGCAGUGGCACCAUUAAGCGGAGCUCCUGGAGGAGGACUGGAAGCAACUGCUUGCAUUGAAGGAAUGUAGCUAUAGUGGAAUUAUUGAACCACAUCAUAUUUGCAAAGAUGCAGAAUGUAUUACAGAUUACGAGAUAUGGAAGUUGAGGUUAAUCUGGUAGAGAGCAGUGAAUAUGAGGAGGAAGCUCUCUAUUGGGCGGGUGCUAUCAUAGCUGCAGAAGGUGAUGGUGCAAUGCUUCUGCCAGUGAGUAAAGUCUUGUACAAACUUAAACCAGUUACGGGGUAAAAUCUGAUCCAGGACUACCUGAGGGUCACUUAUGUUGGCCUGUUCAAUACACACAUUUCUUUCCAGGAGCCUUACCAAAGGUCUAUAGUAGUGAGUUCAGUAUGGAGGCAGUAAUCAGAUCAUAUCUGGAAGGAACUGGCAUAAACUCCAAUCCUGUGGGACAUCAUGGACAGCAACUAAAUUCGAAUCAACAGAGUAGAGCCCUUGACAUUGGACAAGUUCGUGGUGAAAGAUCUGAGGCUUUAGGACUCCGACAUUUGUGAAUGACAGCACUAAAUGAAGUCUUUACUGGUGAACGUCUAUGUUUCUUACUGUGAGAUUUCAGUUGGUAAUGGUCCAUGGGAAAAAUGGAAGACUUCAGGGCUCAAUUUGUGAACUGGAGCAAGAUCAAAGGCAACAGGGUUGCAAGUCAGGCUGUGGAGCAUGAUUAAAAUAUUGCAAAUGACAAGGACGUUGGAGUCUUGCAUUCAACUGUAAAAUGACAGAAUAACAAAUAAAUAUAAUGAAUCAUUGUUCUAGAGUCCAAAAAGGGCCAAAAGUAAUUUUCAGUAUUCAAGAACUAAAAAGCAAGCAGUUUUCUCGAGCACCCAUGAGCAUUGUUUCUCCUGAGAGAUUUGUCCUCGUUUUCAUUGCUGGAACACCUGCAUGGUUGUAGAUGGAGGAAUGUCUUUUGAUGUUCCUAUUUUUAUAUCAGACAAGCUUUAAAGCAACAACAGUUAUAAAAGACAAAGAAGGA